CAAAAGCUUGGUCCUGACUUUACUAUCAGCUUUGGUUAAACUUAUACAUGCAAGUAUCUGCACCCCUGUGAGAAUGCCCUACAUAUUUCCCUUUCCGGAAAAAAGGAGCAGGUAUUAGGCACGAUCAUAUCUCGGCCCACGACACCUUGCUUAGCCACACCCCUACGGGAUUUCAGCAGUAAUAAACAUUAAGCAAUAAGCGUAAGCUUGACUUAGUUAAAACCAAAAGGGCCGGUAAAACUCGUGCCAGCCACCGCGGUUAUACGAGAGGCCCAAGUUGAUGAACACCGGCGUAAAAUGUGGUUAGUACACCCUAAAAACUAAAGUCAAACACCUUCAAGGCUGUUAUACGCACCUGAAGACAGGAAGCCCUACCACGAAAGUGACUUUAAAAAUUAUUAAUCCACGAAAGCUAGGAAACAAACUGGGAUUAGAUACCCCACUAUGCCUAGCCCUAAACACAAGUGACGCCUUACAUCACUUGCUUGCCAGGGAACUACGAGCCCCAGCUUAAAACCCAAAGGACUUGGCGGUGCUUUAGACCCCCCUAGAGGAGCCUGUUCUAGAACCGAUAACCCCCGUUCAACCUCACCCUCUCUUGUUUUUCCCGCCUAUAUACCGCCGUCGUCAGCUUACCCUGUGAAGGUUUAAUAGUAAGCAUAAUUGGUUUAACCUAAAACGCCAGGUCGAGGUGUAGCGUACGAGAGGGGAAGAAAUGGGCUACAUUCACUGACCCAGUGAAUACGAACAAUGCCUUGAAACAGCCAUUUGAAGGAGGAUUUAGCAGUAAGGAGGGGAAUAGAGUGCCCCCCUGAAACCGGCCCUGAAGCGCGCACACACCGCCCGUCACUCUCCCCAAAACAACCCUACUCAUAAAUAAUCAACUAAUAAUAACAAGGGGAGGCAAGUCGUAACAUGGUAAGUGUACCGGAAGGUGCACUUGGAAAAU
rnacentral:ncRNA from 1 species